CUACGGACAAAGGGCAGCAAGUUCGCGAGGACAAGCAAAUCCCAUAAACCGUGGCUCAGUUCAGAUCGUAGGCUGCAACUCGCCUACGUGAAGGAGGAAUCGCUAGUAAUCGCAGGUCAGCAUACUGCGGUGAAUACGUUCCCGGGCCUUGUACACACCGCCCGUCACACCAUGGAAGUUGGCCACGCCCGAAGCCGUUACUCCAACCCUUGUGGAGGAGGACGUCGAAGGUGGGGCUGAUGACUGGGGUGAAGUCGUAACAAGGUAUCCGUACCGGAAGGUGCGGAUGGAUCACCUCCUAA
rnacentral:rRNA from 1 species